AUCCUCAAGGGGUUCCCUGCCUCCCCUUCCUUUUAACCACGGGCUGAGACCUCCUCAUCUACGGAUGGUUCAGUCAUAGAGUCAAAAAUUACUGGACUCAGAGAAAGAUGAAGGCCAGCCUUUUAUUUUGAUUAGAAACAGUCCCGGAGGGGAGAAUGGAUACUUGUAUAUGUACGGCUGAGUUCCUUCGCUGUUCACCUGAAACUAUCACAACACUGCUAACCAGCUUACACCCCAAUACAAAAUAAAAGGUUAAAAAGAAAGAAGCAGUCCCAGAGGUGACGUGAUUUGCCCAAAGUCGGCAACUUCCUGAAAUUAGAAACCAAUCGGAAGACUUCCAUGUGGGUGUUCUUUCCGCUGUUAUCAGGUUACCUCAGAGUCUUAGGAUCUGCUUGUGAAAAGGAAUGAAGAGGAUAUUUUCCUACAUGUGGGAUUACUGUGAAGGGUAUGCACACAUUUAAGGCUCUAGAUUCAGAACCCCUCCAGCGGUGCAAGAAUGAGUCAGCUUCCCAGCGAGCUGGCUCUAACUAGGUCCCAGCUUGGACACUGACAGAGAGCCUUUGAGAUGGCCUCCUGCUAUUCAUGCCCUUGAGUGUGAGCUGGACUUCCUGAUGUGAUUCUGGAGAAGAGAAGAUGGCCGAAGUGACAGGCUGCUCCUUUCAGGCACCCUCCCCCACCUUACCUGCUCUGUGGGAAGCUAGUUGCCCUGUUGAAAUGCUCUGUGAGGGAGGGGAAGGCUCCAGCCGGCAACCUGUGAGGAACUGACUCCUAUCAGUGACUCACAACUGGGUCCUCCACCAGCUGAGCCUUCAGAUGAGAGGACAGCCUUGGCCAAUGGCAGUAGUGCCCCCCGCCUGCCCCAUGAAAGGCCUUCAGCCUGAGGGCACCUGGCUGAGCCACACCUGGAUUCCUGACCCCAAGAAAC